UACGGGGGGGCAAGCGUUGUUCGGAAUUACUGGGCGUAAAGGGCUCGUAGGCGGCCAACUAAGUCAGACGUGAAAUCCCUCGGCUUAACCGGGGAACUGCGUCUGAUACUGGAUGGCUUGAGAUUGGGAGAGGGAUGCGGAAUUCCGGGUGUAGCGGUGGAAUGCGUAGAGAUCCGGAAGAACACCGGAGGCGAAGGCGGCUUGCUGGGCAUGGUCUGACGCUGAGGCGCGAAAGCGUGGGGAG
rnacentral:rRNA from 1 species